UAGUCCACGCUGUAAACGAUGGGUACUAGAUGUUGCGGGUAUUGACCCCUGCAGUGUCGUAGCUAACGCAUUAAGUACCCCGCCUGGGAAGUACGGUCGCAAGAUUAAAACUCAAAGGAAUUGACGGGGGCCCGCACAAGCGGUGGAGCAUGUGGUUUAAUUCGAUGCAACGCGAAAAACCUUACCUGGGUUUGAAAUCCCCGGACCGCCCUAGAGAUAGGGUUUUCUCUUCGGAGACUGGGUGACAGGUGCUGCAUGGCUGUCGUCAGCUCGUAUCGUGAGAUGUCGGGUUAAGUCCCUUAACGAGCGCAACCCUUAUCCUUAGUUGCCAUCAUUUAGUUGGGCACUCUAAGGAGACUGCCUGUGUUAAGCAGGAGGAAGGUGGGGAUGACGUCAAGUCCUCAUGGCCCUUAUGUCCAGGGCUACACACGUGCUACAAUGGCCGGUACAGAGGGAUGCCAACCCGCAAGGGGGAGCUAAUCUCAGAAAGCCGGUCUCAGUUCGGAUUGAAGUCUGCAA
rnacentral:rRNA from 1 species